rnacentral:rRNA from 1 species
GGCUUAAUACAUGCAAGUCGAGGGGCAGCACGAUGUAGCAAUACAUUGGUGGCGACCGGCGGACGGGUGCGUAACACGUAUGCAACUUGCCCUAUACUGGAAGAUAGCCCGAAGAAAUUCGGAUUAAUAUUCCAUAACAUCAGGAUAAGCAUUUAUCUUGGUUCAAAGCUCCGGCGGUAUAGGAUGGGCAUGCGGUCGAUUGGCUUGUUGGUGAGGUAACGGCUCACCAAGGCGACGAUCGAUAGGGGGCCUGAGAGGGUGAUCCCCCACACUGGUACUGAGACACGGACCAGACUCCUACGGGAGGCAGCAGUAAGGAAUAUUGGUCAAAGGGCGAAAGCCUGAUCCAGCCACGCCGCGUGAAGGAAGACGGCCCUACGGGUCGGUUCUUC